AAUACUCAGUUACUCAUUCCUCACUCCUCUCUCUCUCUCUCUUCCUCACGCACUCACUCCUCUCUCUCUCUUCCUCACGCACUCACUCUCUCAUCUCACGGUCUCAACUCUCCUUCACUCACGAAUCACGGCAGCCACAGCCCACCAACGCCACCAGUCCACCACCAUCGCCCACCGGCAGCCGCCCAAAGCACCACCACUCUCUCUCUCUGCUGCUGUUGAAGACUUGAAGCUUGAAGUGCCUAUGACAGUUUUGGGGCUUUGACACAAUGAUAAUACAAUGGCUUUUACAAUGAUUCUGAGCUUAUUGUUCAACGAUCGCGUAGAGGACAACUAUGAUUUGUAUAAUUUCUGAUGUAUAAGCAUAUUACAAUUGUUUUUAAUUAUAUUUUUAUCGAUGUGCUCAUUUGAAAAA